rnacentral:lncRNA from 1 species
AAAUAAAAAUCCAUACCCAGCCUUAGCAGUUGGGUAGAUGAUCCUCUGGAGGAAGGUAGGAUUCUACCUCUUGGCCAGUAGUUUGU